GAGAUUAAGAUUGACAGGAUAGCAGGGUUCAGCUGAAUUGGCCGUAUACUGGACAUCUCCAAAAUCCCUCAAGACUAGUAGGUUGUGACCUAUUAAUUCGAAAAGGGACAAGCCCUUUCUUUCGUAGACAUAAGCUGUAUAUAAACUUACGACCAAGUAUACUGUAAUUAUAACACACAUGGGACUAUCAAAAAGGUCUGUCACUUACGGACCA
rnacentral:lncRNA from 1 species